rnacentral:rRNA from 1 species
AGUGAACGCUGGCGGUAGGCCUAACACAUGCAAGUCGAACGGCAGCACAGUAAGAGCUUGCUCUUACGGGUGGCGAGUGGCGGACGGGUGAGGAAUACAUCGUAAUCUACUUUUUCGUGGGGGAUAACGUAGGGAAACUUACGCUAAUACCGCAUACGACCUACGGGUGAAAGCAGUGGAUCUUCGGACCUUGCGCGAUUGAAUGAGCCGAUGUCGGAUUAGCUAGUUGGCGGGGUAAAGGCCCACCAAGGCGACGAUCCGUAGCUGGUCUGAGAGGAUGAUCAGCCACACUGGAACUGAGACACGGUCCAGACUCCUACGGGAGGCAGCAGUGGGGAAUAUUGGACAAUGGGCGCAAGCCUGAUCCAGCCAUACCGCGUGGGUGAAGAAGGCCUUCGGGUUGUAAAGCCCUUUUGUUGGGAAAGAAAAGCAGCAGGUUAAUACCCCGCUGUUCUGACGGUACCCAAAGAAUAAGCACCGGCUAACUUCGUG